GUCUUGUGUAGUGACCAAUAGUGUCCAAUAGUGUCUUUUAGUAUCUAGAUAAUGUCAACAGUUGUUCAGUAGUGUCUGUGGUGUCUAUGGUGUCCUACAGUUUUGUUUUGUGCUUGCCACAUAGAAGAACCAAUAGACCCAUCCCCACUACCAGCUACUACUAUAUAGAGUCUACCACAAAACCUAGCCCAGAAAUACAGUUCUGUACUAGACCUCAAGGUCAGAACUAUAAAGUUAGUCUCAAGCCAAGUAACUUGAAUACAGCAGCCAAUAUCAAGUCCAAGAGAUAGGUUCUCUUUUAUAUGUCAGCAUCACCUCAAUGUGAAUAGCUUGCAAUAAUUAUUCAGCAUGGCCCCAAUGUCAAUGUAAUUAUUCAGUGUAGUCUACUAGUUAUAAUUAUGUGACUCUUGAACGCAACAGAUGAAUGGGGAGGGUUGAUGCACCGUUAAACUCUUUAACCCAUCAUUCUCGGCUCUUUGUAUGGUUUUGUGUUCUCUGCUCUUUGUUCUUCCCGAGCUUGUUUCUGGUAAACCGUAGUUGACAAAUUUUGUCGUAAGUACACUUAGUAUCAUAAUUGUGCCAACCAUGAAAAAUCUAUCUUUAAGUGAGCAUUCCAUUUGAGCUAGUAUUUACUUUUUACUUUUCAAAACCUCAAACACACACACAACAUGGGAUUGAUCGCACUGGAGUGUUCAUCACCCUGCAUGCACAACUGGAGCGACUCAAGAUGGAGGGCGUGGUCGAUCUGUUCUAGUUCAUCAAGUUUGCUCGCAAACAGAAGGAGGGGCUCUUUAGCAGUCCUCGGAUCGAUAUCUCAGGAAACCACCCCCUCUGAUAGAGGACGACCCUCGGAGAGUGGGAGGAGUCAGACCAGAAAUCAUGCACCACUUUAUACCACCACUACCCCACAGUCUCAACAGCUGAUCAGUUACAGGGAUCUUAAGGUCUGCUGACACCCGCACUUUUUAGAGUCAGCCUGGAUAAACCCAUGCAAGCAUCUCAGAUGGAUCCAUGUUGAGGGAUAUGGAUUUGAAUCAAUUUUCGGGUUUGACCCUUUGCUCAGUUUAGUUCUGUACUAUGCCACCAACACGAUGGAGAAACACAACCCUGAACUGGAGACAAUGAAAUUGUAUAUGUGUGUUUGUGCUAUUUCUGUGUAUGUGGUUAUGUGGGCACAUGUACACUUUUGUGUGGAAAUUGUUUGCAAUGAUAAUUUCAA